ACGACGCACUUUGCUGACGUAGAAAAAGAAACAGACAUGCUCCCGGAACUGGCAAGAAGAUACACAGCUUCAAAGUUCUAUGCUCGUCUAUCUAGUUUGAAAUAUUUCAUUUCGUAGGCAC
ensembl:ncRNA T28B11.15 ncRNA